AUGCCAAACGAAAUUCUGCACUUGGUUAAAACUGAUAGACAACAUCCUGUUCUUGCUCUACUUUUAAAAGAUUAUAAUUCAAAAAAAAUCAGUACCAUUGGAAAUCUUAUGACAAAGACUGCAGUAUUCAUGUUGGGGACAUGUAUAAAUUACAAACCAAUUAGUCCCAGUUCUGAAUUUAAACCUCUGCCUUUAUUUCCAAAAUACCAGCUGCAUCUAUUGUGUGUGAUUUCUUCCUGUCUACACAUCAAACUAUCAUCUUACUUACUGUAUUAUAUACUCCCUCUAUCUCAGUAUAUAUCUCGACCAAAAAAUCUUAUACUUUGA
rnacentral:rRNA from 1 species